rnacentral:lncRNA from 1 species
GGAAAAUCGAAUUAUUUGAGCAAGCCUAAUAUUUACUAGAUAAAAACAAUUUUAAAUUGCCUCUGUGUCUGUCUCUGUUCUAUGUCAGUGCCCGUAUUAUUAUUAUAUUAUUAUUUAUUUACAAAAUUUAUAUUCCGCCCUUCUCACCCUGAAGGGGACUCAGGGCGGAAUUCGAGGCAAGCAUUUGGGUAGUUCUCAAUCCGUCUUUAACUUGUUCCUUAACAAGGCACCUAGCAAUUGAAAACCAGCUAAAAUAUUAAAGUUUCAAGGAUGAAAGAUUAAUGCAGUUUCGGCCCAAUAGAUAUCAUAGCUGGCUGAGCGUAAGAUCUUCUGCCAGCAGGAGGUUAAGGAAGGGUAGUGUGGGGGUGAAAUAUGCGGCAGCCCAAAUUGAUAUGCUGACAAUGGGGGCUCUGCAUUUAGAGACACCGAUUCUAACCAAUCAGGCGAAAUACAAUCCAUAGUCCCGGGGCCUUAUCUUCCUAGAUAACCCUCAUUAAUCCAGUGAGCUUCUGAGGACAACAAGAAGAGACGAAUUGUUUCAUUUGUGUCGCUUGAAUGGAAUGCUAAUGAGGAGAGGUGGAGGGAAAAAAGUUAAUUAUUCAUGCCAGCCGGCUGAGAGGAAGGCAGAUCCUAGCUUCCCCUGUUACCAUUGCAACAAGUGACUGUGUUGGCCUAGUGAGGGCAAAGCAAGGGAAGCAGUUUGUAACUAAUAAGAAGAGAUGCCUUCUCAGGAAAGGAAACCUGUCUUCUUGAGCUGCAUCACGCAUAGCCAGGUGGACCUAAGAAGAGCCUGCAGCCAAGAAAGAAAGUCCUUCGUAUCUCAGAUUUGCUUCAUGAUUAACCACUCCUCCUGGGGGAAACCGUGUUGCCUUGGAAAAAGAGAAAAUCUGUACAGAGCGAAUGCUUGGCAAGCAAGUACAAUUGUUCAGUGUAAUAGAGCAACAAAGAGAGAGACAAACUGGACAAAGGUAAAACAAACAAAAUAGAAUCAGCCUUCAUUAAGCUUCCACAUUUGUCAAUGGCAUGUACUUAAACUUUCUAAAUUAUGAUUUAUCUGUAUGCAGCAUGGUACUGUUUGUUUAGUGUUUGGUUAGAGUUUACUUACUCAGCAGAAAAGUAAAGUGGUGGCUAAGAUGUUAAAAUUCUAUUGGCAGCAUAUUUAUUAAUUCAUAUACCUCUCACAUUCCUGAGAAAGAGAGGGCACCAUGCAAGCUGGAAGGAAUAACACAUUCUUGACAAACAUUACCCAUUCAAUGUAACAGGCUUUUUGCAGUGUAUCAGUCAUCUUUGGAAAACAUAGCCUUUGGGCUUACUGUGUUGCACAAAAGCAAAUGCUGUCCCUCAGCCUGAAAAAGUGCCAAAGGAAAAGUGUUUCCCAAGGCCUGUUCUC